rnacentral:rRNA from 1 species
CACCCGUUCCCAUCCCGAACACGGAAGUUAAGCUCUCCAGCGCCGAUGGUAGUUGGGGCCAGCGCCCCUGCGAGAGUAGGUCGUCGCUAGGC